rnacentral:lncRNA from 1 species
UUUUUUUUUUUUUUUUUUUUAGAUGAAGCCUCGCUUUGUCACCAGGCUAGAGUACAGUGGUGAGAUCUCGGCUCACUGCAAUCUAUGCCUCCCGGAUUCAAGCGAUUCUCGUGUCUCAGCCUCCCAAGUAGCUGGGACUACAGGCACAUGCCACCAUGUCUGGCUAAUUUUUUUUUUUUUUUUUCUGUAAUUUUAGUAGAGACGGGGUUUCACCAUGUUGGCCAAAGCUGGUCUUGAACUCAUGACCUCAGGGGAUCCACUCACCUCGGCCUCCCAAAGAGCUGGGAUUACAGGCAUGAGCCACCACACUCGGCUGUGCUUUCUCUUUUUAUUUUGAGACAGGGGCUUGCUCUGUUGCCUAGGCUGGAGUGCAGUGAUGCGAACAUGGCUCACCGCAGCCUCAACCUCCUGGACUCAAGUGAUCCUCCCACCUCAGUCUCCUGAGUAGCUGGGACUAUAGGCACAGGACACCAUGCCUGGUUCAUUUUUAAAUUCUUUUGUAGAGAUAGGGUCUCACCAAAUUGCCCAGGCUUGUUUUGAACUCCUGUGCUCGAGCAAUUCUCCCGCCUCGGCCUCCCAAAGUGUUGGGAUUACAGGCAUGAGUCACUGUGACCCGCUCACUUUCCUUUUUUCAAAUGUGUUAGUGGUUUGGUUCACAGAUAUAUACAUAAGCAAAACCAACAUAGUGCAACACGCUCAUCACAGCCUGAACGCUUGAGUCCAGGCUUGGGGGUCUGGAGAGGUGAAGGGAGGCCAUGCCUGUACCACCUUCCCCACCAGAUCUGCCAACAGCAUAUGCACCGAGCACAUAGAGACCACACUGCUGCUCUCUGGUCGGUCCUCAAAUCAGGAAGCUUUGGGAUUUGGGACUUGGGAUGUUAAGGUCCUAUUCAGUAGCCACACCAGGUCCCAAGUGUGGGGAGUGGUGGUUCCCGAGGACUCAUGCCGGAGUACCUGAUUGUGGCUGCUUCCGUGAAUUACAAACCAAGGGCUAGAGCUGUAAUUUAUAAAAUAUCCUUUAUUUAUUCUAAGGAACAGUCAAGCAGUAGUUUAAAAAAAAAAAAAAAAAAGACACAUUUUUUGAAAGAUAUUAUUAGUGUUGUGACCUGGCAUUGGGCCCCCAGUGAGUGGGACAGUGGCUGGGGCCACCUGCUGUGGCUUUGGGAGUUCUCUGUACUCACUGGCAGGGGUUUGGUGGGAAACUGGGAAGCUUUGGCACGGUUCUGUCCAGUUGCUUAUAAUCAAGAAUAAUGAGUUUUGAGGUUUACAAAGAGCAGAAGUAACAUUUAUACUGCUGGCAUUUGACAAAAGAUUGCUUAUAAUAUACUCAUUCCAGGAAGUGUAAAAAUGCUUUAAAGGAAUGAUAAUUUGUACUUACUGUUUAUGGGGACUAGAUAUAUUAGAAUUAUAGCAUCAUUAUGGGAACAUAGUAUUUCUCUAUAAAUUCAGAAAUUCUCUGGUUGAUGUAAAAUCAUACUUCCUGGUUUUACUUAGUUAGUAAAGAAAUAAAUAAAUUAGAGUAACAUUUAGUCAGGUAGUUACUCCUUUUUCCCCUUCUUUAUUAAUAAAUUUUAUUUUUAGCACAAUGAUUUACCCAAAAAGAGAGUUUGAGAAUGUUCGAGAAUCUCUACCACUUGGUAACCAUGCUGGCUGUUAUAUCAGAAAAAUCCAUAAACACACACAGCAGCGAGCUGUUUUCACAAGACUUCCUUGCUAAUAAACACAACACUUUCUCCUCCACUCAGAUGGGAGCCUCAGAUGCCAAAACGCAGAUGUGCCAACUAUAGGCUCGUUGCUAAGCAAAGAAACCUAUCAAGUUUGUCCAGCAAAUUCGAUUGUACAAUGGAAUGGCGUCUGCUCUGCGGCCUUG